AUGUUUGCAAUGUAUUCGCGCCGAAACGUGCGCGUUUUCUCAUUCUUGUGUGGUUUCUCAUCCAAGGAUCAAUAUACGUAAACCGUGAUGAGGUUUGAUGUGACGAGGAUGAAGACACAUAGGGAUUUGCCUUAGACAAUAAACCGGAUUUUUUUUAUGUCCUGGAUUUUGUUUGGUUUAUUUGGAUAUUUAUUUGACUAUGUAACAUUGUUUAGUUUUGACAUGAAUGAUAUUUAAACUUCUAACUAGGGUUUAUGCCCGCGCUUCGCGGCGGGGCAUACUGG
rnacentral:lncRNA from 1 species